rnacentral:rRNA from 1 species
GGUUAAGCGACUAAGCGUACACGGUGGAUGCCCUGGCAGUCAGAGGCGAUGAAGGACGUGCUAAUCUGCGAUAAGCGCCGGUAAGGUGAUAUGAACCGUUAUAACCGGCGAUUUCCGAAUGGGGAAACCCAGUGUGACUCGUCACACUAUCAUUAACUGAAUCCAUAGGUUAAUGAGGCGAACCGGGGGAACUGAAACAUCUAAGUACCCCGAGGAAAAGAAAUCAACCGAGAUUCCCCCAGUAGCGGCGAGCGAACGGGGAGGAGCCCAGAGCCUGAAUCAGCAUGUGUGUUAGUGGAAGCGUCUGGAAAGGCGCGCGAUACAGGGUGACAGCCCCGUACACAAAAGCGCAUGUGCUGUGAGCUCGAUGAGUAGGGCGGGACACGUGGUAUCCUGUCUGAAUAUGGGGGGACCAUCCUCCAAGGCUAAAUACUCCUGACUGACCGAUAGUGAACCAGUACCGUGAGGGAAAGGCGAAAAGAACCCCGGCGAGGGGAGUGAAAAAGAACCUGAAACCGUGUACGUACAAGCAGUGGGAGCCCCACCACUAAGCCAGUGGUGAACUCCACAUACGCAUCCUUUGCUGAUGGCAAUGGUUAACGGAGCGAAAGCGACGUUCAACCGCAAAACAAGCAGAGGGGGCUUAGUGGUGGGGUGACUGCGUACCUUUUGUAUAAUGGGUCAGCGACUUAUAUUCUGUAGCAAGGUUAACCGUAUAGGGGAGCCGCAGGGAAACCGAGUCUUAACCGGGCGUUAAGUUGCAGGGUAUAGACCCGAAACCCGGUGAUCUAGCCAUGGGCAGGUUGAAGGUUGGGUAACACUAACUGGAGGACCGAACCGACUAAUGUUGAAAAAUUAGCGGAUGACCUGUGGCUGGGGGUGAAAGGCCAAUCAAACCGGGAGAUAGCUGGUUCUCCCCGAAAGCUAUUUAGGUAGCGCCUCGUGAAUUCAUCUCCGGGGGUAGAGCACUGUUUCGGCUAGGGGGCCAUCCCGGCUUACCAACCCGAUGCAAACUGCGAAUACCGGAGAAUGUUAUCACGGGAGACACACGGCGGGUGCUAACGUCCGUCGUGAAGAGGGAAACAACCCAGACCGCCAGCUAAGGUCCCAAAGUCAUGGUUAAGUGGGAAACGAUGUGGGAAGGCCCAGACAGCCAGGAUGUUGGCUUAGAAGCAGCCAUCAUUUAAAGAAAGCGUAAUAGCUCACUGGUCGAGUCGGCCUGCGCGGAAGAUGUAACGGGGCUAAACCAUGCACCGAAGCUGCGGCAGCGACACUGUGUGUUGUUGGGUAGGGGAGCGUUCUGUAAGCCUGCGAAGGUGGCCUGUGAGGGUUGCUGGAGGUAUCAGAAGUGCGAAUGCUGACAUAAGUAACGAUAAAGCGGGUGAAAAGCCCGCUCGCCGGAAGACCAAGGGUUCCUGUCCAACGUUAAUCGGGGCAGGGUGAGUCGACCCCUAAGGCGAGGCCGAAAGGCGUAGUCGAUGGGAAACGGGUUAAUAUUCCCGUACUUGGUGUUACUGCGAAGGGGGGACGGAGAAGGCUAUGUUGGCCGGGCGACGGUUGUCCCGGUUUAAGCGUGUAGGUGUGUGUUCCAGGUAAAUCCGGUUCACUUUAACACUGAGGCGUGACGACGAGGCACUACGGUGCUGAAGCAACAAAUGCCCUGCUUCCAGGAAAAGCCUCUAAGCAUCAGGUAACAUCAAAUCGUACCCCAAACCGACACAGGUGGUCAGGUAGAGAAUACCAAGGCGCUUGAGAGAACUCGGGUGAAGGAACUAGGCAAAAUGGUGCCGUAACUUCGGGAGAAGGCACGCUGACAUGUAGGUGAAGUGAUUUACUCAUGGAGCUGAAGUCAGUCGAAGAUACCAGCUGGCUGCAACUGUUUAUUAAAAACACAGCACUGUGCAAACACGAAAGUGGACGUAUACGGUGUGACGCCUGCCCGGUGCCGGAAGGUUAAUUGAUGGGGUCAGCGCAAGCGAAGCUCCUGAUCGAAGCCCCGGUAAACGGCGGCCGUAACUAUAACGGUCCUAAGGUAGCGAAAUUCCUUGUCGGGUAAGUUCCGACCUGCACGAAUGGCGUAAUGAUGGCCAGGCUGUCUCCACCCGAGACUCAGUGAAAUUGAACUCGCUGUGAAGAUGCAGUGUACCCGCGGCAAGACGGAAAGACCCCGUGAACCUUUACUAUAGCUUGACACUGAACAUUGAGCCUUGAUGUGUAGGAUAGGUGGGAGGCUUUGAAGUGUGGACGCCAGUCUGCAUGGAGCCGACCUUGAAAUACCACCCUUUAAUGUUUGAUGUUCUAACGUGGACCCGUAAUCCGGGUUGCGGACAGUGUCUGGUGGGUAGUUUGACUGGGGCGGUCUCCUCCUAAAGAGUAACGGAGGAGCACGAAGGUUGGCUAAUCCUGGUCGGACAUCAGGAGGUUAGUGCAAUGGCAUAAGCCAGCUUGACUGCGAGCGUGACGGCGCGAGCAGGUGCGAAAGCAGGUCAUAGUGAUCCGGUGGUUCUGAAUGGAAGGGCCAUCGCUCAACGGAUAAAAGGUACUCCGGGGAUAACAGGCUGAUACCGCCCAAGAGUUCAUAUCGACGGCGGUGUUUGGCACCUCGAUGUCGGCUCAUCACAUCCUGGGGCUGAAGUAGGUCCCAAGGGUAUGGCUGUUCGCCAUUUAAAGUGGUACGCGAGCUGGGUUUAGAACGUCGUGAGACAGUUCGGUCCCUAUCUGCCGUGGGCGCUGGAGAACUGAGGGGGGCUGCUCCUAGUACGAGAGGACCGGAGUGGACGCAUCACUGGUGUUCGGGUUGUCAUGCCAAUGGCACUGCCCGGUAGCUAAAUGCGGAAGAGAUAAGUGCUGAAAGCAUCUAAGCACGAAACUUGCCCCGAGAUGAGUUCUCCCUGAGACUUAGAGUCUCCUGAAGGAACGUUGAAGACGACGACGUUGAUAGGCCGGGUGUGUAAGCGCAGCGAUGCGUUGAGCUAACCGGUACUAAUGAACCGUGAGGCUUAACCUU